GGCAGAGAUGCCUUGGUGCCUUCGGGAACGCUGAGACAGGUGCUGCAUGGCUGUCGUCAGCUCGUGUUGUGAAAUGUUGGGUUAAGUCCCGNAACGAGCGCAACCCUUAUCCUUUGUUGCCAGCGAUUCGGUCGGGAACUCAAAGGAGACUGCCGGUGAUAAACCGGAGGAAGGUGGGGAUGACGUCAAGUCAUCAUGGCCCUUACGAGUAGGGCUACACACGUGCUACAAUGGCGCAUACAAAGAGAAGCGACCUCGCGAGAGCAAGCGGACCUCAUAAAGUGCGUCGUAGUCCGGAUCGGAGUCUGCAACUCGACUCCGUGAAGUCGGAAUCGCUAGUAAUCGUGGAUCAGAAUGCCACGGUGAAUACGUUCCCGGGCCUUGUACACACCGCCCGUCACGCCAUGGGAGUGGGUUGCAAAAGAAGUAGGUAGCUUAACCUUCGGGAGGGCGCUUACCACUUUGUGAUCCAUGACUGGGGUGAAGUCGUAACAAGGUAAGCGUAGCGAG
rnacentral:rRNA from 1 species